rfam:Dipodomys ordii contig_60051, whole genome shotgun sequence.
GGUGGCUCAGUGGUAGAGUGCUUGCCUUGCAUGCAUGAGGCCUUCGGUUCAAUUCCUCAGCACCA